rnacentral:rRNA from 1 species
UACAGAGGGUGCGAGCGUUAAUCGGAAUGACUGGGCGUAAAGGGCGCGUAGGUGGUUAGUUAAGAUUGAGGUGAAAUCCCUGGGCUUAACCUAGGAACGGCCUCGAUGACUGGCUAGCUUGAGUACUGUAGAGGGUAGUGGAAUUUCCGGUGUAGCGGUGAAAUGCGUAGAGAUCGGAAGGAACACCGGUGGCGAAGGCGGCGCUCUGGACCGAGACUGACGCUGAGGCGCGAAGGCGUGGGGAGCAAACAGG